AUGCAAUGUUUUUAAUUUCUUCACUUGAAAUAUUCAUGAAGUUUUAUUGAGCUUUUUUAACCCUGAGCAUC